AGAACACGGAAAUUCCAUUUGAAAUCUGAACAACGGAGCCACUCUACGCUUAUGUAAGGAGAAAGAUGGCGUCAAGCGUUGAGCAGAAAACCAUCAAAGUGGUUUCUGAUAAAGUUAAGAGUAUGGAGGCUGAAAUGGUUCUCGAAUUGAGUAAGAAUAUAGCACCGACAAAGAACAUAGAAACCCAAUUCAACAAUUUACUCUAUUUCUUCAGAGUGAAUCCAUUAAGACCAGUAGAGCAUGAUCAAAUCGACACCAUUCAAAAACUCUUUACAGCAUUAAGAAUGUACAGAAAAAUCGACUACGGAAACUAUGAUUUCUUUAACGAGAAAUUAAAACUGGUCAAUCCACUCAUGGCUUCCUAUGUGGACACGUAUACUGAACAAAUACGGGCAGAAAUGAAGAGGGGCAUGUCCGCUACUUGAGAUCCAGAGAAUGGGAGACGGUCACACGGUAACGAAAGAGGAUGUGAGAUCGAUCUUACCAUCAGGAAGUUUUGAAUGGUGGAAACUAUGAUCGAAGGGAGAUAAUUCCUCCUUACUUUGGCACAUCUUGCAAUGUCAGAAAAGUAACACUUGCACAGAUUACUCGAACGUGAUACAUUGAUGAACUACGUCAAUUUAUGUGGUACGUUGUACAUUUAUGUCGAAAGAUUAAUACUUUUCAUAGUGAAGUUUCUUUUCCUAAUCUACUAAAGACGACAAUAUAUAUAUGUAUAUACGUUAGAUUUUUUCUUUUUAUAAUAUUUCUUCGUCCUUAAGGAUCAUUUUUCUGCCUUUAUAAUACAUAUAUAUAUAUAUAUAUAUAUACUUGGACAGUGCUCUCUUCGCUUGCACACAUAUGUGCUUCUUUAAAUUACAUUCUGCCGAUCAUAAUAUAAAUGAAAUAUGUUGAUUUUUCCGUCAUUUUAUUUGUUCGUAAAACAUUGUUUGUCAUGUUCCACCUUGUUUUAGAUCCGGCUGUAUAUUGUCUGUAACUUUGCAUAUUUGCAAUGGAACAUGUAUUCGAACGUGUAAUAUUUGUAGGAACCUAUUUUUAACAUGGUGGUCAUAAAUACAAUGUAUGUAUAAUCAAUACAUGGCAAAAUCCCCUUAUUUUUUCUAUUAUGUUCAAUAUUCUGACCGAAACACGAAGAUGAAAAGCCCUGUAACAAAUCCAACGUCCACGCUUCAUGACAGAGACACAAUUCAUUAUCACUUCCAUAUACAAUUCAACGUUUACUCUUAUGGAUGCAAGGGACAUAACUCUUCCACAGCUAUUGCCAUACCAAGCAAUCGAUGUAAAAACAGUUGCAACUUCUACGAACUUAAGAUAUUAGAUACCGAGGUACUCAAAAACGUGCACAUAACUCCCCUUUAACCGAUGCUGUAUAGAUGUGUACGUAACAAUAUACGUUACCGGUGUAUGACACAGAGCCCGGCGUGGUAUUAGUACUACUAAUUAUUCCAGUUGAGUGUAGUUCGGUUGUAAAUUGUAAAUUUAAUAAAAAGUUUCUUUCAAAUUGACAAUUUUUCAAAUCAGUUAAAAAUAUUUCUAAUAUCCUAAUUUACAUUUAAUUCUAUGUCCAUGAAGAAUUGUACUAAGUCAAUCUUGCAAUUAAAACAUGAUAUCGAUUUUAAGUCGGUUUUAAUAGCUCCUUAGAGCUAAUGUUAUAUUGUUAUACCAUGUACCGACUCUAAAUAAAACCUUUGACUUUGACAUUGA
rnacentral:lncRNA from 1 species